GAAACAUUUUAGCUAUGGUUUUCAUGAAGAGUAACAUGGCAGAAGAGGAGACAUGUGCUCUGAGCAAAUUAUCCUUUAAAUCAUCCAAAAGCACGACAAAAAUUUUACCUGCAGCCUCACAGCAGGAGUCUGCUCCUCAUUCAGAUCUUCUUCUAGUUCUCUGCAACUCAAAAAAAACCAGAGGCCACACAUCAACCAAACCACUAAAGUAAUUAGCAGCAGGAGAGGAAGUAGAAAUGUCCUGGAAUUGAAGCGAGUUGAAGCAAACCCUGACCUGCACCUUCACUGGGACAUAACCCUGCAAUUUGGGCAGAAGACAGAACGGCUACAGCUAGAAUGCUACUGCUCAUGGAUCACUACGUUUCAACAGCCAUGAAACAGAAGCUGACUGGCAAAAAGCAAAUGCACCACAUUUCCCCAGG